GUCUUGUCAAAUUCCGUACUGGUGUCACGCAAAGGCGUUGUGCCAACUAGCCUUCUUCAUCUGGAAGGCUUUAUUUUCUGAGAAACCGGUACGCAUUUGUUGUGUAACUUUGUGCUUCAAACGGCUGAACGUCUCGAGGCUCAAUGAUGUAACACUACUCUUCGAAUACGAGGAUGAGAAAAAGGUCAAGAAACACUUCGAGAAAAAAGGUGGAUUCAGCGGCAGUGCGGCUGAUGAAAACGGAGAAGUAACUGACCACGUCAAAAAGUUCAGAAUUCACUUUCAUCGAAAGAAAGAAAACUCUAAAGGCGAAGCCACAGAAGGCUUUUACACUCACGUCACCCUGGUGUGUC
rnacentral:lncRNA from 1 species